CGUGCCUGAUUGAUGGCCGGGAAGGAGGCGCCCCCCGCGCCGGCAGCGCACCCGCCCAGGAAAGCUCCCGGGGGCUGGGUCUGGGAGGAAGCGCAGAAUCCCCCUAAGAGGCUGCGCGGCGGCGAGGUCGAGGUGCAGGAGCAGCCGCGAAAGCUGCCCAAACGCAAGAUCGUGCUGCUCAUGGCCUACUCGGGGAAGGGCUACCACGGCAUGCAGAGGAAUGUGGGGUCCUCACAGUUCAAGACAAUCGAAGAUGACUUGGUGUCUGCCCUGGUCCGGGCAGGCUGCAUCCCUGAGAAUCAUGGCGAGGACAUGAGGAAGAUGUCCUUCCAGCGCUGCGCCCGCACAGACAAGGGUGUGUCCGCAGCAGGCCAGGUCGUGUCCCUGAAGGUGUGGCUGAUCGAGGACCUUCUGGACAAGAUCAACAGCCACCUUCCCUCCCACAUCCGGAUCCUGGGGCUGAAGAGGGUCACAGGCGGCUUCAACUCCAAGAACAAAUGUGAUGCCAGGACCUACUUCUACAUGCUGCCCACCUUUGCCUUUGCCCACAAGGACCGGGACGUGCAGGAUGAGACAUACCGCCUGAGCGCCGAGACGCUGCAGCAGGUCAACCGGCUGCUGGCCUGCUACAAGGGCACCCACAACUUCCACAACUUCACCUCACAGAAGGGGCCGCAUGAGCCCAGUGCACGGCGCUACGUGCUGGAGAUGUACUGCGAGCCACCCUUUGAGCGCGAGGGCCUGGAGUUUGCCGUGAUCAAGGUGAAAGGCCAGAGUUUCAUGAUGCACCAGAUCCGCAAAAUGGUGGGGCUGGUGGUGGCCAUCGUGAAGGGCUAUGCCCCUGAGAGUGUGCUGGAGCGCAGCUGGGGGGAGGAGAAGGUGGAUGUGCCCAAGGCGCCAGGGCUCGGCCUGGUGCUGGAGCGGGUGCACUUCGAGAAGUACAACCAGCGCUUCGGUGGUGAUGGGCUGCAUGAACCCCUGGACUGGGCACAGGAGGAAGCCAAGGUGGUGGCCUUCAAGGAGCAGCACAUCUAUCCCACCAUCGUCAGCACCGAGCGGCGUGAGCGCUCCAUGGCCCAGUGGCUCAGCACCCUGCCCAUCCACAACUUCAGUGCCACUGCAAUUGCCAUGGGCUCAGGCACUCAGCCUCCUCAGUGCUGGGAUCACAGGCCUGCACUGCCAUACCCGGCUGGAUUGCCCAAUAUCUUAUAGAAUGAGAAGGGCCCGGACUUGGGCCAUGACCUGGAGGUAUGGUGAUGACUCCUGGCAGCACCCCCAGAAGGGGCAAUGCUGGCCCUACAGUUCCUCCUGUUUCCUUGUCCUGCAGGCCCCUAGCCCAGUGGAUGGCAGAGACGGGGACAAAGACUGAGCCAUGGGGCUACACAUGCCUCUUAACCCCAGAGCCAAGGACUCUGGGCCUGCCUAUCGGCCGGCUGCACAACCUCAGGACCGCGCCAUCAUAGCACACCUUGCCUUACUGUUGGUGCAUCUGUGCGUGCCCCUUGAGACUGGAAUACUGCAGAGCGGGGAAGACAGGGCAGGCUCAAGGAGCAGGUGGGUGGUGGUGGCUGAGGUUUUUGGGGUGCGUGCUGCCUCCCAAUCCCUUCCUGUGGACCCUAGGCUCAGGCUGUGCCUCUGCCCGACCCCAUGCCCCCACCUGCCUCUGCACCAAUGCACGGAUCCUGCCUUACAUCCUCUUAGUCCCUGCCACCUUUUCUCAGCACCUAGGUGCCUUUCGUUCGCUCUGAAGUUUAUGCCGCAUAUGCUUGCUUCCCUUGGCCUGCGCUGCUCUUUUAAACAAUACCUUUUUAAUUUCACAUUUUUUUCUUUUUUUGGAGACUUGUUUUUGCUGUAUUGCCCAGCUAAGCUGAUUUCCUGCUUCAUUCUC